rnacentral:rRNA from 1 species
UACGUAGGGGGCAAGCGUUGUCCGGAUUCAUUGGGCGUAAAGAGCGUGUAGGCGGCCAGGUAGGUCGGUUGUGAAAACUGGAGGCUCAACCUUCAGAGGUCGAUCGAAACCAUCUGGCUAGAGUCCGGGAGAGGAGAGUGGAAUUCCUGGUGUAGCGGUGAAAUGCGCAGAUAUCAGGAGGAACACCAAUUGCGAAGGCAGCUCGCUGGGACGUAACUGACGCUGAGACGCGAAAGCGUGGGGAGCAAACAGG